rnacentral:piRNA from 1 species
UGAGUGACCUUGAGCAAAUCAAAUUUCAGU